rnacentral:rRNA from 1 species
UACAGAGGUCUCAAGCGUUGUUCGGAUUCAUUGGGCGUAAAGGGUGCGUAGGCGGCGCGGUAAGUCGGGUGUGAAAUCUCGGAGCUUAACUCCGAAACUGCAUUCGAUACUGCCGUGCUUGAGGACUGGAGAGGAGACUGGAAUUUACGGUGUAGCGGUGAAAUGCGUAGAUAUCGUAAGGAAGACCAGUGGCGAAGGCGGGUCUCUGGACAGUUCCUGACGCUGAGCACGAAGGUCAGGGGAGCAAACGGGG